GACGAACGCUGGCGGCGUGCUUAACACAUGCAAGUCGAACGGAAAGGCCCUGCUUGCAGGGUGCUCGCGAGGGGAACGCGUGUGUAUCACGUGGGUGUUCUGUGCUCCACUCUGGGAUAAACCUUCGGGAAUGGGUGUAAUAUCCGGGAGGAGCCAUCUUUAGUCAGGUGGUUGGUAGGAAUGUUUGGUUGGGGAUGGGCGCGCGGCUUAUCAGCUUGUUGGUGGGGUAGUGGCUUACCAAGGCGGGGACGGGUAGCCGGCCUGAGAGGGUGGGCGGCCACAUUGGGACUGAGAUACGGCCCAGACUCCUACGGGAGGCAGCAGGGGGGAAUAUUGCACAAUGGGCGGAAGCCUGAUGCAGCAACGCCGCGGGAGGGAUGACGGCCUUCGGGUUGUAAACCGCUUUCGCCUGUGAAGAAGCGUGAGUGACGGUAAUGGGUAAAGAAGCACCGGCUAACUACGUG
rnacentral:rRNA from 1 species